CUGACGACGAGUGGCGGACGGGUGAGUAAUACUUAGGAAUCUGCCCAGUAGUGGGGGACAACUCGGGGAAACUCGAGCUAAUACCGCAUACGCCCUAAGGGGGAAAGCGGGGGAUCUUCGGACCUCGCGCUAUUGGAUGAGCCUAAGUCGGAUUAGCUUGUAGGUAGGGUAACGGCCUACCUAGGCGACGAUCCGUAGCUGGUCUGAGAGGACGAUCAGCCACACUGGGACUGAGACACGGCCCAG
rnacentral:rRNA from 1 species